CAUCCAUUUUGCAAAAUUUCAUUGGGUCUUAAACCACAGGGUUCUUCCUUGGAGGCAAUUGUAGGAUCAUAGAAAGGAAGGCAAGCUGUACAGGUUUUUUACUAUGCUCCUAGCUUCCUCUUUUUGUUUUUCCAAAUUGUAAGUGUAAAGCUCAAGCAGCCCGAUGAUAUUUAGAAUAAGAUUCUUGGGCUGCCUGAAAUAAAGGAGUAUUGGCCAACAUAGUUAGAAGGCUAUCUGUCUUUGAAUUACCAUCCCAAAUGACCUUGGGUCCACUAUUGAGGUGGAAGGCAAGAUAUAAAUUUUUCCUGGAUGUUUUUACUUGCCUUUGGUUCCUUAAAGAGCUGAUAUAUAUUACAGGCUACAAAUUGUAUUUGGGUUAUGGCAAUUCUUUGUACCACACCUACUGAAUAAGCUGAAUUAGAUAAUAUAUGUAUGUCUCCUGGAUAAUAAGCAAGAGCUAGCUAGAAUGAUUGCAUACAAUUCAUUCUGCUGAGUGGACUGAAAAGAAGUUCUGACUACUCUCUUUAUAGUUAAGUCAUGAGAAUAUAUAGUACAAAUAUUAUGUUUGGAUACAUCUUUAAAGCGAGUUGGUCCUUUAAGAGGAACUUCAGAAACCUUUUCUUCUAGAAUCCAUUGUCAAUUAUGUAACAGUCUGGUUGUCUUUAAUGGAGACCUGUGUGUAAAAUUCAGAGCUGUGGCUAAUAAAAUUUGCCACUCUGGGAUGGUUUCACAGCAUACAUUAAUUUGUGCAUUAGUAUAAAAGGUGUAUAUCUUGUCAGGUCUUAUCCCAGAUACUUAUACUGCUUGCUUAAUGGCCUUUAAUAAAAUUCUAGUCACAAGCACUGGCAAAAGUAAGAGUUUGUUCUGGUUGUGUUGGGAGGUUCACCCAUUCUAUCACAGUGUCUUGCUUGAUGAAGGAAUGCUGUGGGUGCCUCUUGUGUACUAAAAAACUAUAUUUCUAAGGAUAUUUGUGUGACUUUCAACCACACCCUUCAACCUCUCUCAAAAUCUCUUGAGCUUCUUUUGCAAGCUGGCGUGGUGAGUUUAAACUGUUUCCAGUUAAAAUGUCACAUAAGGUUUUUAACUGAUGGUGUAAUCCUAACACUGGGCGCAUCCAUUGGUUAUUCUACCAAUUUCAAGUCAUUUAAGCUGUUUUUGCUUUCGUUCUUAAGGACAGUUUUGCAUGUGAGAACUUUUUAAAUACUUCAUAUCCUACUUUUCCAACAAAAGACUUCCCCAUUGCAACCUGGCUUUUCUCCAGAUUGAUGCAUGAUCAGAAAUGUACUAUGGCAGAACACCUUGACAAG
rnacentral:lncRNA from 1 species